rnacentral:rRNA from 1 species
AGCAGCCGCGGUAGUUCCAGCUCCAAUAGCGUAUAUUAAAGUUGUUGCAGUUAAAAAGCUCGUAGUUGAAUUUCGGGAUUAGUAGUCUGGUCGUGCCACUGGUAUGUACUGGCCUUACUGAUUUCUCCUUCUUGAAGAACUGUAAUGUUAUUAAUUUGGUGUUGCGGGGAAUCUGGACUGUUACUUUGAAAAAAUUAGAGUGUUUAAAGCAGGCUAACGCUUGAAUACAUUAGCAUGGAAUAAUGAAAUAGGACGUUCGAUCCUAUUUUGUUGGUUUCUAGGAUUGACGUAAUGAUUAAUAGGGAUAGUUGGGGCAUUAGUAUUCAAUUGUCAGAGGUGAAAUUCUUGGAUUUAUUGAAGACUAACUACUGCGAAAGCAUUUGCCAAGGAUGUUUUCAUUAAUCAAGAACGAAAGUUAGGGGAUCGAAGACGAUCAGAUACCGUCGUAGUCUUAACCAUAAACUAUGCCGAUUAGGGAUCGGAUGAUGUUAAUUUUAUAAUGACUCAUUCGGCGCCUUAA